CGGGGCAGCUCUGGGAACCUGGAUUCAGCUCCGGCAGGAACUCCGUCUGCAGGGCCUGGAGGCUCCGGGGCGGG
rnacentral:pre_miRNA from 1 species